CAAUAGCGUAUAUUUAAGUUGUUGCAGUUAAAAAGCUCGUAGUUGGAUUUCGGGUGGGACGCAGCGGUCUCGCAUUGCGUUUGUACUGCUGCAGCCCUCCUUCUUGCCGGGGGCGGCCUCUCGGACUUCACUGUCUGGGGGUCAGAAUCGGCGAUGUAACUUUGAGUAAAUUAGAGUGUUCAAAGCAAGCUUACGCUCUGAAUAUAAUAGCAUGGGAUAACACGACAGGACUCUGGCCUAUCGUGUUGGUCUAUAGGACCAGAGUAAUGAUUAAGAGGGACAGUCGGGGGCAUUCGUAUUCCGUUGUCAGAGGUGAAAUUCUUGGAUUUACGGAAGACGAACAUCUGCGAAAGCAUUUGCCAAGGAUGUUUUCAUUGA
rnacentral:rRNA from 1 species